UACGAAGGGUGCAAGCGUUACUCGGAAUUACUGGGCGUAAAGGGUGCGUAGGUGGUUUUUUAAGUCCGUUGUGAAAUCCCUGGACUCAACCUGGGAAUGGCAGUGGAUACUGGAAAGCUAGAGUGCGGUAGAGGGUAGUGGAAUUCCCGGUGUAGCAGUGAAAUGCGUAGAGAUCGGGAGGAACACCAGUGGCGAAGGCGGCUACCUGGACCAGCACUGACACUGAGGCACGAAAGCGUGGGGAGCAAACAGG
rnacentral:rRNA from 1 species